rnacentral:rRNA from 1 species
UACAGAGGGUGCAAACGUUGUUCGGAUUUACUGGGCGUAAAGCGCGUGUAGGCUGCUUCGCAAGUCGGAUGUGAAAGCCCUGGGCUCAACCCAGGAAGUGCAUUCGAAACUGCAGAGCUGGAGUCCUGGAGAGGAAGGCGGAAUUCUCGGUGUAGAGGUGAAAUUCGUAGAUAUCAACCAGAACGCCGAUAGCGAAGGCAGCUCGCUGAGGAUGUACCGACGCUGAGGCACGAUAGCGUGGGGAUCAAACAGG